CAGGGAGACAAAACUAAGAUCAUGAUGCCUAUUUUUAUUAUUAGUAGGCCAUGAUCCUGUCACCUUAGGUCGAUCGGUACCUCAGAUUAUUUGUCAAAACUUUCUGAAUAUAUUCAGAAUUUAUUGGCAUCUGAUUUUAGUUCCUAAACUUUGUCUAGGUCACACCCAGCAAGGGUACUCCUGGGCCAUUAGCUCAGGUGGUUAGAGCGCACCCCUGAUAAGGGUGAGGUCCCUGGUUCAAGUCCAGGAUGGCCCAUUCGAUGUUGGGGGUAUAGCUCAGUUGGUAGAGCGCCUGCUUUGCAAGCAGGAUGUCAGCGGUUCGAGUCCGCUUACCUCCACUGAUCGACCUCCUGAUAACGAAAUCACAGGAGAUUUUGUUGUAUAAGUGACUUAGAAAUUGUUCAAACUGUUUGAACCUAGCUUCCUAUCAUUCUUUAUUAAUUGGAUUACUCCAACUUUAAGCUGACAGGAUGCUGGGCCCACUGAUUAGCAAAAGCUAAUCAGAAAAGUUCAGUAGAACCUUGACAACUGCAUAGGUGAGUUUGGAUAGAAUAAAGCAUCUCAUAGAUGCAUUAUUCUUUCAUAUUUUAUUGACUAAUUGAUCGAUAAAAUAUAAAGAAUAGUGUUUAAUUCUUGAGUCAAGAGCCAAUACUUUAAAACUUAUAAACAGUUUUAAAGUUCAUAUU
rnacentral:tRNA from 1 species